rnacentral:rRNA from 1 species
AGUGAACGCUGGCGGUAGGCCUAACACAUGCAAGUCGAACGGCAGCACAGUAAGAGCUUGCUCUUACGGGUGGCGAGUGGCGGACGGGUGAGGAAUACAUCGGAAUCUACUUUUUCGUGGGGGAUAGCGUAGGGAAACUUACGCUAAUACCGCAUACGACCUACGGGUGAAAGCAGGGGAUCUUCGGACCUUGCGCGAUUGAAUGAGCCGAUGUCGGAUUAGCUAGUUGGCGGGGUAAAGGCCCACCAAGGCGACGAUCCGUAGCUGGUCUGAGAGGAUGAUCAGCCACACUGGAACUGAGACACGGUCCAGACUCCUACGGGAGGCAGCAGUGGGGAAUAUUGGACAACGGGCGCAAGCCUGAUCCAGCCAUACCGCGUGGGUGAAGAAGGCCUUCGGGUUGUAAAGCCCUUUUGUUGGGAAAGAAAAGCAGCAGGUUAAUACCCCGCUGUUCUGACGGUACCCAAAGAAUAAGCACCGGCUAACUUCGUG